ACGAACGCUGGCGGCGUGCUUAACCCAUGCAAGUCGAACGGUGAAGCGCCUUCCUUUUUGGUGGGUGUGGAUGAGUGGCGAACGGGUGAGUAACACGUGAGUAACCUGCCCCCUUCUUCUGGAUAACCGCAUGAAAGUGUGGCUAAUACGGGAUAUUCUGGGUCUGUCGCAUGAUGGGUCUGGGAAAGGUAUUGUUUCGGUGGGGGAUGGGCUCGCGGCCUUUCAGCUUGUUGGUGGGGUGAGGGCCUACCAAGGCGGUGACGGGUAGCCGGCCUGAGAGGGUGGACGGUCACACUGGGAGUGAGACACGGCCGAGACUCCUACGGGAGGCAGCAGUGGGGAAUAGUGCACAAUGGGCGCAAGCCUGAAGCAGCGACACCGCGUGAGGGAUGGAGGCCUUCGGGUUGUGAACCUCUUUCGCCAGUGAAGCAGUCCUGCCUCGUUUGUGGGUGGGUUGACGGUAGCUGGAUAAGAAGCGCCGGCUAACUACGUG
rnacentral:rRNA from 1 species